rnacentral:lncRNA from 1 species
CGUUUACACUAUUCAGGCUCGGAAGUUAGAAUGUUUGGCCUAGGCCUAGUAGGAGCAUGUAUAUUUCUUAGGUACCCAACAUCAGCUGAGUAUUCAAGUAUAGUGGAGCAACUACUUACCCACAACAAAUAUCAUCCGAUACUCAAAUGAGGAAGUUCCCCGCUGAAUUUCAAAUUAUAAAUGAUUUGGAAAAUGAUGCUGUAGCCCUAUUGAAAGCUGGCAUAGACAAGUACAGAUCUGCAUUAAUAUCACAGUACAGAAACCAGCGAACCAAAAACGUAUAAUGCAGCACUGAUUUGAAUAAUUCUUUUGGAAUAAGAGAAAUUGGAUAAGAAGGAAAACGAUUGGCAACACUCAAUAUGUUUUUCGAUGAACUUAGCACCUUAAAAAAACUGACAAAAGUCAACUAUUCAUUUCACAACACAGGGAGCACCCAACUAUUUUAACCUACCAUCUUGAAUAAAUCAAUGUCGUAAAUUUAUGUACAGUCAU